AUAUUGUAUGCAUUAGUUUUGAGCGCGUGUUAUACUUAAAAGUAUAACACGCGCUCAAAACUAAUGCGUAUAUAA